UACGGAGGAUGCAAGCGUUAUCCGGAUUUAUUGGGUUUAAAGGGUGCGCAGGUUGUUUGAUAAGUCAGUGGUGAAAGUCUGUCGCUUAACGGUAGGGUUGCCAUUGAUACUGUUAGACUUGAAUAUGGAUGAGGUAGGCGGAAUGUGUAGUGUAGCGGUGAAAUGCAUAGAUAUUACACAGAACACCGAUUGCGAAGGCAGCUUACUAAUCCAUCAUUGACGCUGAGGCACGAAAGCGUGGAGAUCAAACA
rnacentral:rRNA from 1 species